rnacentral:rRNA from 1 species
GAUUGCAGCGGUCGGGGAGUUCGGGACGUUUACUUUGAACAAAUUAGAGUGUUCCAAGCAGGCCGGUCGCUUUGAAUACGUUAGCAUGGAAUAAUGGAAUAGGGCUGCUCUCGUCCUAUUUUGUUGGUUUUCGGGACGGCAGUCAUGGUCGACAGGGACAGUUGGGGGCAUUCGUAUUCAGUUGUCAGAGGUGAAAUUCUCGGAUUUGCGGAAGACGAACGACUGCGAAAGCAUUUGCCAAGGAUGUUUUCAUUAAUCAAGAACGAAAGUUGGGGGUUCGAAGACGAUCAGAUACCGUCGUAGUCCCAACCGUAAACUAUGCCGGCCAGGGAUCGGCGGACGUCGGUGGCGACUCCGUCGGCACCUCGCGAGAAAUCAGAGCCUUUGGGUUCCGGGGGGAGUAUGGUCGCAAGGCUGAAACUUAAAGGAAUUGACGGAAGGGCACCACCAGGAGUGGAGCCUGCGGCUUAAUUUGACUCAACACGGGGAACCUCACCAGGUCCGGACAUGGGAAGGAUUGACAGAUCGAGAGCUCUUUCUUGAUUCUAUGGGUGGUGGUGCAUGGCCGUUCUUAGUUGGUGGAGUGAUUUGUCUGGUUGAUUCCGUUAACGAACGAGACCUUAACCUGCUAACUAGUCGUGCCGUUUCCGAACGGCGGGGCGAUCCGGUCCGUCGCGCGGCCUCUCGCGGGUCGCCGGCGGUCCGGUCGUCUCCGGUCCCUCGCGGGCCAGGCGACUUCUUAGAGGGACACUCGGCGUUUCAGCCGGGGGAGGACUGAGGCAAUAACAGGUCUGUGAUGCCCUUAGAUGUUCUGGGCCGCACGCGCGCUACACUGACGGAGGCAGCGAGCGUGUCCUUCGCCGGCAGGUGCGGGCAAUCUUGCGAGUCUCCGUCGUGCUGGGGAUAGAUGGUUGCAAUUGUCGAUCUUGAACGAGGAAUUCCUAGUAAGCGCGAGUCAUCAGCUCGCGCUGAUUACGUCCCUGCCCUUUGUACACACCGCCCGUCGCUACUACCGAGUGCUGGUGUCCAAGAAAGAGUCGGACUCGGGCCUUGCGCGAGGGGCGACCCUCGCCGGGUUUCGGGGAAGUCUCUUGACUGUUCCCCAGGGGA